UGGGGGAUAUUGCACAAUGGGCGAAAGCCUGAUGCAGCGACGCCGCGUGGGGGAUGAAGGCCUUCGGGUUGUAAACUUCUUUUGCUCUGAACAAGGCGCACCAUGGGGUGUGUUGAGUGUAGGGGUUGAUUAGCGCCGGCUAACUACGUGCCAGCAGCCGCGGUAAUACGUAGGGCGCGAGCGUUGUCCGGAAUUAUUGGGCGUAAAGGGCUUGUAGGUGGCUGGUUGCGUCUGUCGUGAAAGCUCAUGGCUUAACUGUGGGUUUGCGGUGGGUACGGGCUGGCUUGAGUGCAGUAGGGGAGGCUGGAAUUCCUGGUGUGGCGGUGGAAUGCGAAGAUAUCAGGAGGAAUACCGGUGGCGAAGGCGGGUCUCUGGGCUGUUACUGACACUGAGGAGCGAAAGCAUGGGGAGCGAACAGG
rnacentral:rRNA from 1 species